rnacentral:rRNA from 1 species
GACGAACGCUGGCGGCGUGCUUAACACAUGCAAGUCGAACGGAAAGGCCCUGCUUUUGUGGGGUGCUCGAGUGGCGAACGGGUGAGUAACCCGUGAGUAACCUGCCCUUGACUCUGGGAUAACUUCAGUCAACUGGGGCUCAUACCGGAUAUGAGCUCCUGCUGCAUGGUGGGGGUUGGAACGUUUCGGCGGUUGGGGAUGGACUCGCGGCUUAUCAGCUUGUUGGUGGGGUAGUGGCUUACCAAGGCUUUGACGGGUAGCCGGCCUGAGAGGGUGACCGGCCACAUUGGGACUGAGAUACGGCCCAGACUCCUACGGGAGGCAGCAGUGGGGAAUAUUGCACAAUGGGCGGAAGCCUGAUGCAGCAACGCCGCGUGCGGGAUGACGGCCUUCGGGUUGUAAACCGCGUUCGCCUGUGACGAAGCGUGAGUGACGGUAAUGGGUAAAGAAGCACCGGCUAACUACGUG